GUAGGAGGAGGGAGGGGGCAGGGAGGGGAAACAACAUGACAGUUUUAAGUCAUUUAAAAAUAUUUUCGUUAAUCACAUAUUAAACUCCUAAUGCAGAUAUAAAUGCCUUUUUAAACAUUAGAAAAAUACAUUUGUGGUAAAAGAAAGAAUACCUAGAAAGGUAUACAGAGUGAAGUCUCUGUGCCCUAGCUCCCUGUCAGUCCCUUUUCCCCAAAGGAACUAAUUUCUUGUAAAUAUGUAAGCUGAGGAACUACCUGUGGCUGGUAUACUCUGUCCUAUCCUCAGAGUAACCAAGCACACCCCAUCUCCUUUCCCUCCUCCUAACCCCAGGGCUACAAACCAUGCCAACAGCAGGGGCUUGUUCUUAGAUACUCUGUCCACACUCUUGGCUUUCUCUCUCCACUCCAGUGGGACCCCCACCUUCCUCUCAACUUUUCCAUUUCAGAAAAUGCCUUUUUCAGAUUUUUUUUUUAAUCAAUGGCUUACACUUGAGUUUUGAAAAAAACUAAUGAAAUAAAAUGUGAGAUCUGGAAGGAAUUUUCCCGUAAUUGUGGAAGCCGAGGCCCCAGAAAAAUGAAUACAUGUACUAUCUUGGGUUUGUAUAAUAUUUUACUGGUUACUAAAGUGCUUUUCUAUUCAUCUUUGUAUUUGGCCCUCUUACUCGCUCCCUGUAUGGAAAUGAAUGGGCAGUAUUAUUGCCACUGUCUAGGUGAGGACACUGGGGUUUCCAGAGGCUGAUUAUUCCAAGAGCUGGGGCACUCCUUGUCCUAAGGGGGUGGGCAAGGCAUGUGUUACACCUCAGUGGCAUCACCAGCCUUGUGGAGGGAUGUCAGGUGUGGUGAGGAAAGGGUGGAGAGGUAAGGUAAUUCCUCAAAUUGCAAUACUUGGGAGGCUGGCUGUGUUGCAUAAAUGGAGAGCAGCUCUGGCUCAGGUACUCCGCUUUCCAAGUGUAAUUUGGUUCCUGGCCCUGGGUUUCCAUGGAGUUGCACCACGACUGCCUGAAGGGGAGCAGUAGGUGGAACUCCAGGCACUCAGCCAGAAUCGCCCUCCCAGACCUGGGCAGGUUGGAAGCUGGACUGCUGCUUCCUGGUGCCCGUGCCUGACAUGUGGGCCAGCUUCUCUCCCAUCAUGCUUUCCUUUGUCCUUCCCUUACUUACUUCUGUGUCCUGGAAGGGGAAACGUGCUCCCUAGCUUUACCUCCUUUCCCUCCAUGGGAGACUGAGUAAAACGGCAAGAAAGUCAGAAUUGAUCGAGGUCGCUCAGUGAGUCAGGUGCUGUGCUCCUGCCAUCUAUACAGAGACCAAAGGGACUUGGCCCCUGCUCUUGAGAUCUUCACAGCUCAGUGGGGUGGCUGCUUCCACACAGAACAACGUACAUGAGCUUGUCAUUGCAUCUGGCUUCAGGAUUGCUUCGUGGUCGAAAAAUGGCUGUUGGUGAUCCAGACUUCAUAUUGCAAGCAAGAGAAGGAUAAAGGGGAAGAUGCAAACGGGUUCGAAAAACGAAGGUGCAGAACGGCGAGUGGCUUGUCCAGGGUGGCCCAGCAGAUCCAUGGCAGAACUGAGGUGGCCCCAGAUCUUUCAGCCCCGACUGGGAGUUUAGGGCUGCCUACUCCUUGCACGCCUGACUGCCAAAACCACCUCCUGAUGCCUACUGAGAGCCUUCCAGUAAAAUUGAUGCUCCAAGAAGAUAUAUCAUGACCGGAAGCGUAGGAUGUCUUCCAUCUGGCUCUCAGCCUGGAUUUCGGGACCCAAGUUUGAGAAGCAUGGAUUAGCCAGGAUUUGGCAAACAUGUUUUGUGAAGGGCUGGACAGUAAAUAUUUAGGUCUCAUGGGCCGUACUGUUUCUGUUACAGCUGCUCAACCCUGACAUUGUAGCAUUGUAGCAAAAACAGCCAUAAACAAUAUGUAAA